CCGUCUCAGUUCAGAUUGCACUCUGCAACUCGAGUGCAUGAAGUUGGAAUCGCUAGUAAUCGCUAAUCAGCAGGUAGCGGUGAAUACGUUCCCGGGCCUUGUACACACCGCCCGUCAAGCCAUGGAAGUUGGUUUCACCUUAAGUCGGUGCGCAAACCCGCAAGGGAUGCAGCCGACCACGGUGGGGUCAAUGACUGGGGCUAAGUCGUAACAAGGUAGCCGUAGGGGAACCUGCGGCUGGAUCACCUCCUUU
rnacentral:rRNA from 1 species